CAUCGUGCCGCCGUUUCUUCUCUGAUUGCUACACGCGUGAGUGGUGCUUGCUGCGCGCGAUUGGCAUCCGCCACGAAACGGGUCAGGCGAUGGUCGCACCAAUGGAUCUCUACUAAGAUCGAACUUCCUUCGAUUUUUCGGGGAUCUAGAAGCCCGGCUAUUUGGCCCUUCUUCUCCGGCGACGGCAUCGUGCAGAUGGCGUUCCUACAGCAGCUUGGGUUUAGGACAUGCGGGCCUGCGCGAUGCGCGCACCUGUGGAUCCCUGCAAAUUGCCGGCUUAGUUCGAUUUCGCAUGGAUUUGGAAGCCCGCCGACUUUCUACCCGUCUUCCCCGGCGCCGGUGCGGUGUUACACCUGUUUGUCUCCUCUAAUCAUCUAUUCUGGUUCUACCAUAUAUCUUGCCUAUAAUCGGAUUUCUCCCUUUCAUUUAACCUGCUCAUUAUUUUUUUGUGAGGGUUAAUUUGUCUCCACAAUCCACGCGUGCUGAUUUUGUGGCGUUAGCAUGACUCUUAAGUGCUGCUCCCACUUGCCUUCCAUCCGGUUAUGUUUCACUGAUGUGAUAGGCAGAUAAUUGAUGCCUGACGACAGCGGCAUGGCCAUAGAGGUCGUUCAUCUUGUCCUGCAAUGCUGCCUAUUCGUGGUACACAUGUUAUGUUGUCCGUUCGUCGCCGCUUCAUUGAUGUGUGAGCGCCAGGCUUGCUUCUCCUGCACCUUUGAUCUCUGGUAUAAAAUUAUUGCAUUGUCAUAUUGAUCCUCCUGGUCCGUGUUGGUUCAUGGAGGAAUUGGGGAUCGAUAUUUACUUCACAGUGGUGAGAAAAUGACUUUUUGCUAGCUAUAUGGAGCUGAUCUUGCAUCUUGACAAUUUAUCAUGUUAUAUUGGUUGUUUCCUAGCCUAGGCUUACCUCAAUUCGUGUUCUAAUUUGUGUUCCUGUUGAGUUUGUAGAGACGUCUAAGAUUACCAAAAAUUUCCGAUGGUGUGGUUUACUGGCUUGUGAGCACCUCUUUGAUGUGCUGAUUUGGGGACAUGUAUGAUCUCUCUUUGUAUUGUCCUAUAGUUUGAUGCGCGAAACAGUUUGACAGUUUUUUCUUUUGCACUGUAUAUAUUUGGGUCUAUUGGAACAUACAAGUAUAUUUAAUUUUUCACCUUUGGCAGUGUUUAUUUGAUGUCGAUAGUUGGCGUGUCUUCAUCUGUUAUUGGAGCAUGAAGUUUCUACUUGGGAGGAAGAUUUUCAUAGGUUAAAUUUUGAAUACAUGUAAUUCUUGGGUAGAGGAUUCCCUAACAUGAGAGAUUAAACCUAUUGUCAAGAGAGUUGAAAUCGAUUCAACUUUUGGACCUGUAGCGUGGGAAGCCCGUUAACAUGUGAGAGUGCAUCUUUGGCAGGAUCGAGAUCAGCUGAGGCAUGGUCGGCACCUCAAGGCUGUUAAGGGCUCCAACAACCUCUGUACGACCAUAGAAGCUCCUUUGCAAGAUGGAGAAAAGCCUCAUCUCUUCCAGGACUUUUGUACAUUGCUUAUUUGAGGGAAUCUCAAGACUACAAGAGUUCUUGAUUUUUCAAUCAGAAAUUAAUCCAUUGGAAAAUUUGUUGGCAGCAUUCAAGACCUUGGAGACAUUGAAGUGGCUGUUAUGGGAUUUCUUGGAUGUUUCCAUCAAUUUGUUCGCGGUGAGCUAUUUGUAGCCAGUUGACAAUAUAACUAUACAUACAUGCUAAGGGUCAAAGGAUUUUUUAUACUUUUGCUGAAAGUAGGAAAAUUUACAUAUCUUUGUUACUUUGGUGCCGAAAUCUCAUGAAAUUUGUAUGCAACUUA